CGCUUCGGUCAUCCCCAUAUUUUUGUAUCUCUCUCUCUCUCUCUCUUCCCAAAUUAUCUUUCUCUGAGUUUGAUAUUUUUAGAUCCGUCCGCAAUCUAAGGCGUUCUCUCUUUCUCUCUCUCUCUGAAUCUCCGAAACCGAAUCGAAUUCCGACAUCAGAGCAGAGAGAGAGCUUCAAUGGCGGGAGCAUAUAGAGCGGACGACGACUACGACUACUUGUUCAAAGUCGUCCUGAUCGGGGACUCCGGUGUCGGGAAAUCCAACCUCCUCUCCAGAUUCACCCGCAACGAGUUCAGCUUGGAGUCCAAAUCCACCAUCGGCGUCGAGUUCGCCACCCGCAGCAUCCGCGUCGAGGACAAGGUCGUCAAGGCCCAGAUUUGGGACACCGCUGGCCAAGAGAGAUACCGUGCGAUCACGAGUGCCUAUUAUCGGGGAGCAGUAGGAGCGUUGCUGGUCUAUGAUGUGACCCGACACGUCACUUUUGAGAAUGUUGAGAGAUGGUUGAAGGAGCUCCGAGAUCACACGGACUCCAACAUCGUGAUAAUGCUUGUGGGGAACAAGGCCGAUCUGAGGCACUUGCGUGCAGUAUCCACUGAAGAUGCCAAGGCCUUUGCUGAAAGAGAGAGCACCUUCUUCAUGGAGACCUCCGCCCUCGAGUCAAUGAAUGUAGAGAAUGCGUUUGCCGAAGUUCUCACCCAAAUAUACCAUGUGGUCAGUCGGAAAGCCCUUGAAGUCGGGGAUGACCCAGCAGCUGUGCCUAAGGGACAGACAAUUAGCGUAGGAUCGAAGGAUGAUGUUUCAGCAGUCAAAAAGAUCGGUUGCUGCUCUGCUUGAGGGUAACAUAUGUCGAAGAUUGGUGAGAAUUCAAAACAAGACUCGUGUGUCUCUGUGCAGGAGAAUUCAAGCCCAACUGGGCUGAGCUCCACAAAGUAACUCGAUUAAAGCUGUUGAUUUGAUUCACCUCUCGUUGGUGUUCUUGCAGAAGCUGCAAACCCACCCUUAGCUCGAAACCUCAUAGACCCUCGGACGUGUUGAAUUUGGAACCUUCUAAAUCAGUGUUAGGAAAGCGCAAGGAUCGGGAUGAUCCAGAACCUGAUGAUUCUCGGCCUAAUCCUCUGAUUCCGACCAACGAUGAUUGCAGGUAUCUGACUCCAUAUUCUUGUAUAUUAUUAUUUUGUAAGUCCAUUAUGCAUUAUUUUUCGGAUUAAUUAAGCACAUAAGAACUUAGAUUCAACAAUGGCUUCUGUAAUGUAUCAUAUAUCCAGUUAACUAUCACAAAGUAUCAUACAUCCAGCUUGGAAA